GGGCGUUUAGCUCAGGGGUAGAGCGCUCGCUUCGCAUCAUAACGUGACUGCGAGAGGCCGUGGGUUCAAUUCCCACAAUGUCCA